GCCUGGGUGGCUCAGUCGGUUGAGCAUCCGACUUUGGCUCAGGUCAUGAUCUUGCAGUUUGUGAGUUUGAGCCCCACGCCAGGCU
rnacentral:tRNA from 1 species